rnacentral:rRNA from 1 species
GAUGAACGCUGGCGGCGUGCCUAAUACAUGCAAGUCGAGCGAAUGGAUUAAGAGCUUGCUCUUAUGAAGUUAGCGGCGGACGGGUGAGUAACACGUGGGUAACCUGCCCAUAAGACUGGGAUAACUCCGGGAAACCGGGGCUAAUACCGGAUAACAUUUUGAACCGCAUGGGUCGAAAUUGAAAGGCGGCUUCGGCUGUCACUUAUGGAGGGACCCGCGUCGCAUUAGCUAGUUGGUGAGGUAACGGCUCACCAAGGCAACGAUGCGUAGCCGACCUGAGAGGGUGAUCGGCCACACUGGGACUGAGACACGGCCCAGACUCCUACGGGAGGCAGCAGUAGGGAAUCUUCCGCAAUGGACGAAAGUCUGACGGAGCAACGCCGCGUGAGUGAUGAAGGCUUUCGGGUCGUAAAACUCUGUUGUUAGGGAAGAACAAGUGCUAGUUGAAUAAGCUGGCACCUUGACGGUACCUAACCAGAAAGCCACGGCUAACUACGUGCCAGCAGCCGCGGUAA